rnacentral:rRNA from 1 species
UACAGAGGUCUCGAGCGUUAGGCGGAAUCACUGGGCUUAAAGCGUGUGUAGGCGGAUGCCUAAGUACCUUGUGAAAUCCCACGGCUUAACCGUGGAACUGCUUGGUAUACUGGGUGUCUUGAGCCACUCAGGGGCGAGCGGAACAAAUGGUGGAGCGGUGAAAUGCGUAGAUAUCAAGUGGAACACCAGUGGCGAAGGCGAUCAUCUGGGGUUGUUCUGACACUGAGGAGCGAAAGCUAGGGGAGCAAACGGG